GACGAACGCUGGCGGCGUGCCUAAUACAUGCAAGUAGAACGCUGAAGGAGGAGCUUGCUUCUCUGGAUGAGUUGCGAACGGGUGAGUAACGCGUAGGUAACCUGCCUGGUAGCGGGGGAUAACUAUUGGAAACGAUAGCUAAUACCGCAUAAGAGUAGAUGUUGCAUGACAUUUGCUUAGAAGGUGCAAUUGCAUCACUACCAGAUGGACCUGCGUUGUAUUAGCUAGUUGGUGGGGUAACGGCUCACCAAGGCGACGAUACAUAGCCGACCUGAGAGGGUGGUCGGCCACACUGGGACUGAGACACGGCCCAGACUCCUACGGGAGGCAGCAGUAGGGAAUCUUCGGCAAUGGACGGAAGUCUGACCGAGCAACGCCGCGUGAGUGAAGAAGGUUUUCGGAUCGUAAAGAUCUGUUGUAAGAGAAGAACGAGUGUGAGAGUGGAAAGUUCACACUGUGACGGUAUCUUACCAGAAAGGGACGGCUAACUACGUG
rnacentral:rRNA from 1 species